ACGGAGAGGGCUCCUGGUUUCGGGACGGAUAGGUUCGAUUCUGGAGAAGAGCCUGAGAACGGCUACUACAUCUACGGAAGGCAGCAGGCGCGUAAUUACCCUUCCUCACUCAGGGAGGUGGUGACAAGAUAUAACGACCCGAUUAAUGUCGUGAUUGUAGUGAGGAUAUUCCAAACAGAAUCACAAGAACGAUUAGAGGGCAAGUCUGGUGCCAGCAGCCGCGGUAAUUCCAGCUCUAAUAGCGUAUAUUAAAGUUGCUGCAGUUAAAAGCUCGUAGUUGGAUUUCAAGGAUUACCCAUUCCUUUUGUUAUUUUGUACCCUACUAGCCAGUAUUGGCUGUUACUGUGAGAAAAUUAGAGUGUUUAAAGCAGGCUCAUGCAAGAUACAUUAGCAUGUAUACGAAUGAGUCAUGAUCUGGUAAUCCGACCGAGAGGGGACAGGGGGGGCAUAGUAUUUAUGUCAGAGUGAAUUCCUCGACUCUGUCAUAUUACUUAUCGUAUGCGAAGCAUUUGCCAAGGAUGUUUUCAUCAUCACCACCACCACACGGAUCAAGACAUCAGAUACUGUCGUAGUCUAUCUAUAACUAUGCGACUAGGGAUUGACUGCAUUUACCAUUCCAGUACCUUAUGAGAAUCAGUCUUGGGUUCUGGGGGGAGUAUGUCCGCAGACUGACUUAGACUGACGAGGACCCACAGAGUGGACCUGCGCUUAUCUGACUCAACCGGAACUACAGGUCGACUAGUAGAUGCGACGAGCUUCUUG
rnacentral:rRNA from 1 species